GCCUUGGUGGAGUAACUGGAAAUACGUCCGAUUCGUAAUCGGGAGAUCCAGAGUUCGAAUCCCGGCUAUGGCA
rnacentral:tRNA from 1 species